UACGUAGGGUCCGAGCGUUGUCCGGAAUUAUUGGGCGUAAAGGGCUCGUAGGCGGUCCGUCACGUCGGGAGUGAAAACUCGGAGCUCAACUCCGAGCCUGCUUCCGAUACGGGCAGACUAGAGGUAGGCAGGGGAGAGCGGAACUCCUGGUGUAGCGGUGGAAUGCGCAGAUAUCAGGAAGAACACCGGUGGCGAAGGCGGCUCUCUGGGCCUUACCUGACGCUGAGGAGCGAAAGCCAGGGGAGCAAACGGG
rnacentral:rRNA from 1 species